UACGGAGGGUGCAAGCGUUAUCCGGAUUUACUGGGUUUAAAGGGUGCGUAGGUGGGUAAGUAAGUCAGUGGUGAAAUCUUCGAGCUUAACUCGGAAACUGCCAUUGAUACUAUUUAUCUUGAAUACUUUGGAGGUAAGCGGAAUAUGUCAUGUAGCGGUGAAAUGCUUAGAUAUGACAUAGAACACCAAUUGCGAAGGCAGCUUACUACACAGUUAUUGACACUGAGGCACGAAAGCGUGGGGGAUCAAACAGG
rnacentral:rRNA from 1 species